GAUGCGUUGAGCUAACCGGUACUAAUGAACCGUGAGGCUUAACCUUACAACGCCGAAGAUGUUUUGGCGGUUGAGAAGACGAUUUUCAGCACUGAUU
rnacentral:rRNA from 1 species